AAAAGGUUUCCGUAGGUGAACCUGCGGAAGGAUCAUUGUCAAAUCGAACGGAAGAACGACCCGCGAACAGUCUUUGCGAACGAACCGAGCUCGCGAGCACCUAACGCUCGCGCGUCCGCGUCGCGUCGCGUCGGCGCGGGCCUCCUGAAAGGGCGCGCCGCACCGACAAACUAACAAAGUCAGCACGGAUCGUGCCAAGGAUCUGAAUAGGCGAGAAUCGCCUCCCACGCCCCCGGUCCCCCUCGACGGGGGGCGGGGGAAUGCGCGAUCUCUGCUCUUAGUCUUAAUGACUCUCGGCACGGAUAUCUCGGCUCUUGCAUCGAUGAAGAACGAGCGAAAUGCGAUACUUGGUGUGAAUUGCAGAAUCCCCGAACCAUCAAUUCCUUUGAACGCAAGUUGCGCCCGAGCCAUUCGGCCGAGGGCACGCCUGCCUGGGUGUCGUGAUCCCCUUGCCCCCGGGCACCCGCGCGAGCAUCGUCGCGGAUAUGUCCGGGCGCAGAAUAUGGUCUCCCGCGUCGGCGUGCGCGGCACGUCGUGGGGCGGUUGGCGAUCGAGCAUUGCGACGUCGGGCUCCACGGCGUUGGGUCGAACGCGAUUGGCUGCGCCGUGGUCCCGUCUACGCGGGCUCCGGACUACGAUGAUUCCCGAGUGCAUCGGUCAGGCGGGGCUACCCGCUGAGUUUAAGCAAUAAAGCGGAGGAAAAGAAACUAACGAGGAUUCCCUAACGGCGAGCGAACCGGGACGUGCCCAGCGUGAAAUUCGCCUUUCGGCGGCCGAAUUGUAGUCUGGAGAGCCUCAGUGACGGACCGGGCCCAAGUUCUGGAAGUCCCGGAGAGGGUGAGAGCCCCGUCGUGCCCGGACC
rnacentral:rRNA from 1 species